rnacentral:rRNA from 1 species
AUUGAACGCUGGCGGCAUGCCUUACACAUGCAAGUCGAACGGUAACGCGGGGCAACCUGGCGACGAGUGGCGAACGGGUGAGUAAUGCAUCGGAACGUGCCUGGUAGUGGGGGAUAACUGCUCGAAAGAGCAGCUAAUACCGCAUACGACCUGAGGGUGAAAGGGGGGGAUCGCAAGACCUCUCGCUAUCAGAGCGGCCGAUGUCGGAUUAGCUAGUUGGUGGGGUAAAGGCCCACCAAGGCAACGAUCCGUAGCUGGUCUGAGAGGACGACCAGCCACACUGGGACUGAGACACGGCCGAGACUCCUACGGGAGGCAGCAGUGGGGAAUUUUGGACAAUGGACGCAAGUCUGAUCCAGCCAUGCCGCGUGCGGGAAGAAGGCCUUCGGGUUGUAAACCGCUUUUGUCAGGGAAGAAAUCUUCUGGGUUAAUACCUCGGGAGGAUGACGGUACCUGAAGAAUAAGCACCGGCUAACUACGUGCCAGCCGCCGCCGUAACAC